rnacentral:rRNA from 1 species
AGUUCGGAUUGUAGUCUGCAACUCGACUUCAUGAAGCUGGAAUCGCUAGUAAUCGCGAAUCAGAAUGUCGCGGUGAAUACGUUCCCGGGUCUUGUACACACCGCCCGUCACACCAUGGGAGUCAGUAACGCCCGAAGCCGGUGACCCAACCAGUUCAGGAGGGAGCCGUCGAAGGUGGGACCGAUAACUGGGGUGAAGUCGUAACAAGGUAUC